UCUAUAUAGACAAACUACACGA
rnacentral:miRNA from 1 species